AAUCAACGCUGGCGGCGUGCCUAACACAUGCAAGUCGCACGAGAAAGGGGAGCAAUCCCUGAGUAAAGUGGCGCACGGGUGGGUAACACGUGAAUCAUCUACCUCCGAGUGGGGAAUAACUGAGAGAAAUCUUAGCUAAUACCGCAUAACACUUACGAGUCAAAGCAGCAAUGCGCUUGGAGAGGAGUUCGCGGCCGAUUAGUUAGUUGGCGGGGUAAUGGCCCACCAAGACGAUGAUCGGUAUCCGGCCUGAGAGGGCGCACGGACACACUGGAACUGAAACACGGUCCAGACUCCUACGGGAGGCAGCAGUGGGGAAUUUUGCGCAAUGGGGGAAACCCGUGACGCAGCAACGCCGCGUGGAGGAUGAAGUAUCUUGGUACGUAAACUCCUUUCGAUUGGGAAGAUAAUGACGGUACCAAUAGAAGAAG
rnacentral:rRNA from 1 species